GGAAGUGGGGAUGACGUCAAAUCAUCAUGCCCCUUAUGACCCUGGGCUACACACGUGCUACAAUGGGCGGUACAAAGGGUCGCGAACCCGCGAGGGGGAGCCCAAUCCCAAAAAGCCGCUCUCAGUUCGGAUUGCAGGCUGCAACUCGCCUGCAUGAAGCCGGAAUCGCUAGUAAUCGCGGAUCAGCAUGCCGCGGUGAAUACGUUCCCGGGCUUU
rnacentral:rRNA from 1 species